UGAGUGGAGCUUGCUCCAUGAUUCAGCGGCGGACGGGUGAGUAAUGCCUAGGAAUCUGCCUGGUAGUGGGGGACAACGUUUCGAAAGGAACGCUAAUACCGCAUACGUCCUACGGGAGAAAGUGGGGGAUCUUCGGACCUCACGCUAUCAGAUGAGCCUAGGUCGGAUUAGCUAGUUGGUGGGGUAAAGGCUCACCAAGGCGACGAUCCGUAACUGGUCUGAGAGGAUGAUCAGUCACACUGGAACUGAGACACGGUCCAGACUCCUACGGGAGGCAGCAGUGGGGAAUAUUGGACAAUGGGCGAAAGCCUGAUCCAGCCAUGCCGCGUGUGUGAAGAAGGUCUUCGGAUUGUAAAGCACUUUAAGUUGGGAGGAAGGGCAGUAAGUUAAUACCUUGCUGUUUUGACGUUACCGACAGAAUAAGCACCGGCUAACUUCGUGCCAGCAGCCGCGGUAAUACGAAGGGUGCAAGCGUUAAUCGGAAUUACUGGGCGUAAAGCGCGCGUAGGUGGUUCGUUAAGUUGGAUGUGAAAGCCCCGGGCUCAACCUGGGAACUGCAUCCAAAACUGGCGAGCUAGAGUAUGGCAGAGGGUGGUGGAAUUUCCUGUGUAGCGGUGAAAUGCGUAGAUAUAGGAAGGAA
rnacentral:rRNA from 1 species